rnacentral:rRNA from 1 species
CACGUAAAGAACCUACCUUAUAGACAGGGACAACUAUUGGAAACGAUAGCUAAUACCUGAUAAGAAAGAAACUCGCAUGAGAGAAGUUCGAAAGUCGGAGCAAUCUGACACUAUAAGAUGGCUUUGCGGUGCAUUAGCUAGUUGGUAGGGUAAAAGCCUACCAAGGCGACGAUGCAUAGCCGACCUGAGAGGGUGAUCGGCCACAUUGGGACUGAGACACGGCCCAGACUCCUACGGGAGGCAGCAGCG